UCGAGGAUCUUCGUCAAUGGGCGCAAGCCUGAACGAGCGACGCCGCGUGCGCGAUGAAGGCCUUCGGGUUGUAAAGCGCGAAAGUGGGGAUAAAGCCGAAAGGUUGAUAGAUCCACAGUAAGGACGGGCUAAGUUCGUGCCAGCAGCCGCGGUAAGACGAACUGUCCUAACGUUGUUCGGAAUCACUGGGCUUAAAGGGCGCGUAGGCGGUCCGACAAGUCAGGGGUGAAAUCCUGCAGCUUAACUGCAGAAGUGCCUCUGAUACUGUCGGUCUGGAGGGAGAUAGGGGUGUGCGGAACUUCCAGUGGAGCGGUGAAAUGCGUUGAUAUUGGAAGGAACGCCGGAGGCGAAAGCGGCGCACUGGAUCUCUUCUGACGCUGAGGCGCGAAAGCUAGGGGAGCAAACG
rnacentral:rRNA from 1 species